GACGAACGCUGGCGGCGUGCUUAACACAUGCAAGUCGAACGGAAAGGCCCUGCUUGCAGGGUACUCGAGUGGCGAACGGGUGAGUAACACGUGGGUGAUCUGCCCUGCACUUCGGGAUAAGCCUGGGAAACUGGGUCUAAUACCGGAUAGGAGCCAUUUUUAGUGUGAUUGUUGGAAAGUUUUUUCGGUGUAGGAUGAGCUCGCGGCCUAUCAGCUUGUUGGUGGGGUAAUGGCCUACCAAGGCGGCGACGGGUAGCCGGCCUGAGAGGGUGGACGGCCACAGUGGGACUGAGAUACGGCCCAGACUCCUACGGGAGGGAGCAGUGGGGAAUAUUGAACAAGGGGCGCAAGCCUGAUGCAGCGACGCCGCGUGGGGGAUGACGGCCUUCGGGUUGUAAUCUCCUUUCGCUAGGGACGAAGCUUUUUGUGACGGUACCUAGAUAAGAAGCACCGGCUAACUACGUG
rnacentral:rRNA from 1 species